rnacentral:rRNA from 1 species
AUUGAACGCUGGCGGCAGGCUUAACACAUGCAAGUCGAGCGGGGAAGUAUAGCUUGCUAUACGACCUAGCGGCGGACGGGUGAGUAAUGCUUAGGAAUCUGCCUAUUAGUGGGGGACAGCAUUCCGAAAGGAAUGCUAAUACCGCAUACGCCCUACGGGGGAAAGCAGGGGAUCUUCGGACCUUGCGCUAAUAGAUGAGCCUAAGUCAGAUUAGCUAGUUGGUGGGGUAAAGGCCUACCAAGGCGACGAUCUGUAGCGGGUCUGAGAGGAUGAUCAGCCACACUGGGACUGAGACACGGCCCAGACUCCUACGGGAGGUAGCAGUGGGGAAUAUUGGACAAUGGGCGGAAGCCUGAUCCAGCCAUGCCGCGUGUGUGAAGAAGGCCUUAUGGUUGUAAAGCACUUUAAGCGAGGAGGAGGCUACUUUAGUUAAUACCUAGAGAUAGUGGACGUUACUCGCAGAAUAAGCACCGGCUAUCUCCGUGCCAGCCGCCGCCGUAACAC